rnacentral:rRNA from 1 species
GAUAAACGCUGGCGGCGCACAUAAGACAUGUAAGUUGAACGGACUUAAUCGAAAUAUUUAUCUUUUGAAGCGGUUAGUGGCGGACUGGUGAGUAACGCGUAAGGAACCUGCCUAUUAGAGGGGAAUAACAGUGAGAAAUCAUUGCUAAUACCGCAUAUGCCAUAGAUAUCACAUGAUAACAGUGGGAAAGGAGCAAUCCGCUAAUAGAUGGCCUUGCGUCUGAUUAGAUAGUUGGUGGGGUAACGGCCUACCAAGUCGACGAUCAGUAGCCGGACUGAGAGGUUGAACGGCCACAUUGGGACUGAGAUACGGCCCAGACUCCUACGGGAGGCAGCAGUCGGGAAUAUUGCGCAAUGGAGGAAACUCUGACGCAGUGACGCCGCGUAGAGGAAGAAGGUUUUCGGAUUGUAAACUAUUGUCGUUAGGGAAGAGAAAGGACAGUACCUAAGGAGGAAGCUCCGGCUAACUACGUG